ACAGUACACCCACACUCAUGCAAUGCAGGACUUCACUGAUAGGUAAUACUUGCAUAACAGACACGCUACAGCGGGGAGCAGUGCAGUAGUUGCAAGAUACUGCUUUGUUAGCACAAUUUCUAUGCUUCAUCUCUAUUCAACAGGAAGUACUAUUUGCAAGGAAAAACUCAACUGACAGAACCUCUUCUUUAUACCAACAGAAAGAGGGAAAUAGGAGAAUAGGUAUCACUAUACCAGCUCAAAGCUUUUAUUUACACAUUGGGCAAGCAGUGACAGCAAGAGAGACAAAAUGACAAUCUUUCUAAUAGCACUUUCAGUAGAAACACCGCUCUUUCAUCUUCCUAGCUGAAGACAACUUACUGCAGCAAGAAAUCCAAGCUCCAAAAUUAAAAGCAAUCCCGUUCACCCAGUAAUUGUACAGUUUCCAGAUGCAUUUCCUUCCUCAAACGAAGCAUUUCACCCAACUAAAUUUAGCACACCCUUAACAAGCAGAGAAGGUGUUGUGAAGAGAGAAGUGCCAACAUUUUCAAACAAAUCUGAUGACGUGAGAGAACAUGAUUCUAUCUGUUGCUGGUGAGAAGAACAUGCUCUUGGUGCAAUUGAUUUCACACAUAAAAGGCAGUGGUUUCAAAUAAGAACACUGCUAUUUUUGGUCAGUCAGUAGAAAACGAUUUCUGAAGCUGAUAGCAGCUCUGACCAUUAAUUACAAGCUAAAGAUCAGGAGUGUCAAAUCCUUGUGAAAUCCCUAGGCACAAACUCUAACGAUUCCCUCGUGCCUCAGAAGAGUUCAGAAGAACUGUUUCCUCUUUUCUUGGCUUAACUUUCAGUGUCCCUGAGUAGCAAGGAUUAUCAGCAUGAAUAUUUUAUGAAAUAAGACCACAGUAAACACAGGCAGGGGAUUCGUCUCUCAGAUUCUGUACGGCAGACUUACACUGGUGUGGGGUAAGCAGAGACCUUUGUGUGACCCCGCCGGCAGGAGCCAAGGACGAAGCUACCUCCUACAUGCGGGCUAUCACUGACACCUGACGAGGCGCCCCCCGCAGCUGCUACUCAGGCAAGCCAGAACACAGAGCGGGCGUGGCAGGCAGUUUGGGACAGCUGUUGCUCGUUUAGGAGAACAUGCGAAGAAAACAGUCUCAUCAAGAAAUUAGGUGAAAAUUUUCUCUACUUCUUAACAGAUUGCUAAAAAUGAACACGCAGUAACUGGCAUAUUUUAAAUAACACGUGCCUGAGUAACUAGCCCCUCAAAAAAUGACUUUUUAAAGGCUUGUCAUCUGCUGGAACUAGCAACUGUCCAGCAAGAUAAACCUGCUCUUUCAAACGUGGGCUGUUCCCUGCUGUGUGGGGAGAAAACAAGCUCCUCUGCCAGCACCAGCUGCAGUCCUCAGCUCUGCUCUCACCUUAAAAUUAGUUUUACAUGUUAAAAACUGUGCUUUAAAAAAUCUGUAUGGUCUAGAUAAUAUUUAGACAGCAUUGCUUCAAAAGUACUAAAAUUUUACACUUCCAUACCAAGAUUACAACACCCGGCAGCAACAUCCAGCCUACCUCAGGAACCAACACUGCAGAGCACUAUAAUACUACACGAGCUACAGAACUCACUGGAUUUAUAUGUACACCAAACCAUUUCUGUGGAUUGGUGUUCAGCGAGUCUUCGCAGCUAUUUUCUCUACAAGCUCAUUAUUCCUAUGGAGAAUUAAUAAGCAGCAACAUAGCAUACACUAUGUUACAGUCCUUGCUGGAGGGCUGGAGUACCAUUUGCCCUUGCUCCUCAACAGAUGGAUGGUGAUGACCUGGCAAAAUAUGGAUUUGUGGAUCACUGCCACUUACAACAGCUCCUGCUCUUUUGCUAAGAAUCAGGGAGUCCCAAGGAACUAGUUAGACACUUCAGCUGCCAGUAAUGGCCUCUGAAGCCCUGAUUCUGAACACCAAGAGGAAGGAGGCUGCACAGCCACCAGCUACUGCUGCUUUUCUGUGCCUUUGACAUGAGACAUUCAGCCAGGCCACACUUCACAGUCUCUUUCCAUACAGCUUCUCCUUAGGUCCAAGAGCAGAUAUUAUAAACAAAGGGCUGAGUCUCCACUGCAUUUACAUUAAAUGAG
ensembl:lncRNA